GCCGAAAGGAAAGAAUUUUAUCAAAAAAAAAAUCGUCGCGCGCAGAUGACGUUACAGUGAAGUUCACCUUCUUGUCAGUCCACCUCAUGCCUGCUAGGAAAGCCAUGACCAACGUGCACAGUCCUCCUGACCCCGGGAAGCUAAAAAUUACACUGCUGAACACAGCUAGCACAGCAAAGCCCAGAACCAGGAAGGCUCGCUUCCACACGAGGUUGUCCUGGAAGAAAGAAACAAUACAAGACCGAGGCCAGCACGAACCAGAAUGACAGAAAGGGCUAUGCUUCUCAAAGAUGACGACCACUUGUGCUGGAUGCGGACAUUAUCACUGAUGACUGGGACGUUCCUCAAGAGAAACCCAGCUAGCAGCAUGCCUUGAAUGGAUCAGACAGGAAUGGUUAAGACUAGUCUUUAAAACUCAUUAGCUCUGAGGAAAUCAAGAAGCAUUUAAUACUUACCAAGAAGAGGAGGCAGAGGAGGCAACGUUGGAAACUUAAUGAGUCCAAAAAGUUUACCUCCGGUGAUGGAGCAAUAGAAGAGGAUUAUAAUUCCAAACAGAUUUCCUCCAGGAAGACAUUCAGGGCCCGUAAUUGACCAAACCACGGCCCAUAGGAGAACAACCAUGGUACCUAAAACCCACCAACAAUGAAAAGAGUAAAAAUAAAUAAAUACACACACAAAAAAACCAAAACGCCUGGAAAACUACAUUUUAUAUGCAAGCUUUGAUGUAUUCUGAAAUUAUAUUUAAAUAAAGAUAAAUCCAUAUACAAAUGUUUAUAACCAUAAGUUAUAAAG
rnacentral:lncRNA from 1 species